CGGCGGACGGGUUAGUAACGCGUGGGAAUAUACCCUUUGGUACGGAAUAGCCUCUGGAAACGGAGAGUAAUACCGUAUGAGCCCUUCGGGGGAAAGAUUUAUCGCCAAAGGAUUAGCCCGCGUUAGAUUAGGUAGUUGGUGGGGUAAUGGCCUACCAAGCCUACGAUCUAUAGCUGGUUUUAGAGGAUGAUCAGCAACACUGGGACUGAGACACGGCCCAGACUCCUACGGGAGGCAGCAGUGGGGAAUCUUGGACAAUGGGGGCAACCCUGAUCCAGCCAUGCCGCGUGAGUGAUGAAGGCCUUAGGGUCGUAAAGCUCUUUCGCCUGUGAAGAUAAUGACGGUAGCAGGUAAAGAAACCCCGGCUAACUCCGUGCCAGCAGCCGCGGUAAUACGGAGGGGGUUAGCGUUGUUCGGAAUUACUGGGCGUAAAGCGCACGUAGGCGGACUGGAAAGUUGGGGGUGAAAUCCCAGGGCUCAACCCUGGAACUGCCUCCAAAACUAUCAGUCUAGAGUUCGAGAGAGGUGAGUGGAAUUCCGAGUGUAGAGGUGAAAUUCGUAGAUAUUCGGAGGAACACCAGUGGCGAAGGCGGCUCACUGGCUCGAUACUGACG
rnacentral:rRNA from 1 species